rnacentral:rRNA from 1 species
AUUGAACGCUGGCGGCAGGCCUAACACAUGCAAGUCGAGCGGAUGAAGGGAGCUUGCUCCUGGAUUCAGCGGCGGACGGGUGAGUAAUGCCUAGGAUUCUGCCUGGUAGUGGGGGAUAACGUCCGGAAACGGGCGCUAAUACCGCAUACGUCCUGAGGGAGAAAGUGGGGGAUCUUCGGACCUCACGCUAUCAGAUGAGCCUAGGUCGGAUUAGCUAGUUGGUGGGGUAAAGGCCUACCAAGGCGACGAUCCGUAACUGGUCUGAGAGGAUGAUCAGUCACACUGGAACUGAGACACGGUCCAGACUCCUACGGGAGGCAGCAGUGGGGAAUAUUGGACAAUGGGCGAAAGCCUGAUCCAGCCAUGCCGCGUGUGUGAAGAAGGUCUUCGGAUUGUAAAGCACUUUAGUUGGGAGGAAGGGCAGUAAGUUAAUACCUUGCUGUUUUGACGUUACCAACAGAAUAAGCACCGGCUAACUUCGUG